rnacentral:rRNA from 1 species
CCUACGGGAGGCAGCAGUGAGGAAUAUUGGUCAAUGGCCGGAAGGCUGAACCAGCCAUGCCGCGUGAAGGUCAGUGCCCUAUGGGCGUUAAACUUCUUUUGUGCGGGAGCAAUAAUGGUCACGUGUGGCCAGACGAGAGUACCGUACGAAUAAGCAUCGGCUAACUCCGUGCCAGCAGCCGCGGUAAUACGGGGGAUGCAAGCGUUAUCCGGAUUUAUUGGGGUUAAAGGGUGCGUAGGCUGUGAGGUAAGUCAGCAGUGAAAUGCCCCCGCUAAAAGGGGUGAAGUGCCAUUGAUACUGCGUUGCUAGAGUGCAGGUGACGUAGGAGGAAUGUGUGGUGUAGCGGUGAAAUGCGUAGAUAUCA